rnacentral:rRNA from 1 species
AGUGAACGCUGGCGGUAGGCCUAACACAUGCAAGUCGAACGGCAGCACAGUAAGAGCUUGCUCUUACGGGUGGCGAGUGGCGGACGGGUGAGGAAUACAUCGGAAUCUACUUUUUCGUGGGGGAUAACGUAGGGAAACUUACGCUAAUACCGCAUACGACCUACGGGUGAAAGCAGGGGAUCUUCGGACCUUGCGCGAUUGAAUGAGCCGAUGUCGGAUUAGCUAGUUGGCGGGGUAAAGGCCCACCAAGGCGACGAUCCGUAGCUGGUCUGAGAGGAUGAUCAGCCACACUGGAACUGAGACACGGUCCAGACUCCUACGGGAGGCAGCAGUGGGGAAUAUUGGACAAUGGGCGCAGGCCUGAUCCAGCCAUACCGCGUGGGUGAAGAAGGCCUUCGGGUUGUAAAGCCCUUUUGUUGGGAAAGAAAAGCAGCAGGUUAAUACCCCGCUGCUCUGACGGUACCCAAAGAAUAAGCACCGGCUAACUUCGUG